CAGUCGUCAGGAGAUGGAAGAUUCCAGUUAAUCAAAUAUUGUGAAUAGUCCAGUAACAGGCAAUUAGAAAACAAGCUCUGGAAGCUCAGACUGGCCGGUCCUCUAAGAUGGAAGUUUAUUCUGCCCUGCCUGGCCUUUCCCGUGGGAACCCCAGGUAAGGCCGGGGGCUACACUUUCCCCUUGUUCCGAUUCCCACCUCCUGACCAAGCCUGGUGCUUCCCCAUGCAGCCCGGGGACAUGUGAGUAAUAAAUUCUUUUUUUCAAUGGCAUUAAGCUCUUGUGUGGGCUCUGUGACCUCCAUAAAAUAGAAUCCCAAGGGCACAAAUGAACAAUGCUCUAAUUUCUUUCAGGAAGACAGAAAACGAUGAUUUCUGGGAAAAGGGUAAUUUACUAAGAACAGAGUAAACAUUCGAAAUAGAUUACAUCUUAGACAUAUUUGGACUAUGUCCAACAAAGAGAGGUCAGCUCAGUGGGGGCAUAACUAAGAAUGAUCCAUCACUUGACCUCUGUGUUGUCACUUCCUUGUCCUAUGGAAGGGUUUCAUUAAUUCUGUUUUUUUGAGGCAGUGGAGUGAGAAGACCUGAGUCUGAAUUUAAGCCCUCCCAUUUUCCAGUUGAGUGGACUUGGGUAAGUCUCUGGGCUUUAGUUUCUGGAUCACGUAAACAUGGGAGUCAUUCCUGCCUCGCUGGACUACGGGAAGUUCUACGAGCUCGUAUCUCACGUGGGGCCUCACACACGACAAAUGGUUUCAGAGCCCACCAAUAAACAAUAAAUAUCCAACACUGAGGAUGACUGCUUUCUGGCAGUCUCAGCGCUUCCAGAAGCUUCCUCUCAAGAAGUCCUGGACCAAGAGGAGGAGAGAGUAUUACAGCCAUGAGCUGAGUCCCUUGGGAACGUUGACAGAAGAAGGAGCAGCAGAUACGCACAUUUUCAAAGCGACUUCUGGACAUUUCAGAACCUUAAUAUCCCUGAUAUUUAUUUACCGCCAAUUCCUUCCCAGAGAAAAGUUCUGCUUUAUUAACAUUAAGAAGAUGGUUUUGGUACAAAAGAGAUAACAGAUGGCAUUCUUUUAAAUAUGACUUCGAAAAAACAGUUUAA